ACGCAAUAGAUACCCAGGUAGUCCACGCCCUAAACGAUGUCUACUAGUUGUUGGGAGAGUAAAAUCUCUUAGUAAACGCAGCUAAACGCGUGAAGUAGACCGCCUGGGGAGUACGGUCGCAAGAUUAAAACUCAAAGGAAUUGACGGGGGCCCGGCCACAAGCGGUGGAUUAUGUGGAUUAAAUUCGAUGCAACGCGAAAAAACCUUAACCCUUGGCCUUGACAUGCUACUAACGAAGCAGAGAUGCAUUAGGUGCCCGAAACGGGAAAGUAGACACAGGUGCUGCAUGGCUGUCGUCAGCUCGUGUCGUGAGAUGUUGGGUUAAGUCCCGCAACGAGCGCAACCCUUGCCAAUAAUUGCCAUCAUUUAGUUGGGCAC
rnacentral:rRNA from 1 species